rnacentral:rRNA from 1 species
CGGGACACGUGGUAUCCUGUCUGAAUAUGGGGGGACCAUCCUCCAAGGCUAAAUACUCCUGACUGACCGAUAGUGAACCAGUACCGUGAGGGAAAGGCGAAAAGAACCCCGGCGAGGGGAGUGAAAAAGAACCUGAAACCGUGUACGUACAAGCAGUGGGAGCACGCUUAGGCGUGUGACUGCGUACCUUUUGUAUAAUGGGUCAGCGACUUAUAUUCUGUAGCAAGGUUAACCGAAUAGGGGAGCCGAAGGGAAACCGAGUCUUAACUGGGCGUUAAGUUGCAGGGUAUAGACCCGAAACCCGGUGAUCUAGCCAUGGGCAGGUUGAAGGUUGGGUAACACUAACUGGAGGACCGAACCGACUAAUGUUGAAAAAUUAGCGGAUGACUUGUGGCUGGGGGUGAAAGGCCAAUCAAACCGGGAGAUAGCUGGUUCUCCCCGAAAGCUAUUUAGGUAGCGCCUCGUGAAUUCAUCUCCGGGGGUAGAGCACUGUUUCGGCAAGGGGGUCAUCCCGACUUACCAACCCGAUGCAAACUGCGAAUACCGGAGAAUGUUAUCACGGGAGACACACGGCGGGUGCUAACGUCCGUCGUGAAGAGGGAAACAACCCAGACCGCCAGCUAAGGUCCCAAAGUCAUGGUUAAGUGGGAAACGAUGUGGGAAGGCCCAGACAGCCAGGAUGUUGGCUUAGAAGCAGCCAUCAUUUAAAGAAAGCGUAAUAGCUCACUGGUCGAGUCGGCCUGCGCGGAAGAUGUAACGGGGCUAAACCAUGCACCGAAGCUGCGGCAGCGACGCUGAUGCGUUGUUGGGUAGGGGAGCGUUCUGUAAGCCUGUGAAGGUGUGCUGUGAGGCAUGCUGGAGGUAUCAGAAGUGCGAAUGCUGACAUAAGUAACGAUAAAGCGGGUGAAAAGCCCGCUCGCCGGAAGACCAAGGGUUCCUGUCCAACGUUAAUCGGGGCAGGGUGAGUCGACCCCUAAGGCGAGGCCGAAAGGCGUAGUCGAUGGGAAACAGGUUAAUAUUCCUGUACUUGGUGUUACUGCGAAGGGGGGACGGAGAAGGCUAUGUUGGCCGGGCGACGGUUGUCCCGGUUUAAGCGUGUAGGCUGGUUUUCCAGGCAAAUCCGGAAAAUCAAGGCUGAGGCGUGAUGACGAGGCACUACGGUGCUGAAGCAACAAAUGCCCUGCUUCCAGGAAAAGCCUCUAAGCAUCAGGUAACAUCAAAUCGUACCCCAAACCGACACAGGUGGUCAGGUAGAGAAUACCAAGGCGCUUGAGAGAACUCGGGUGAAGGAACUAGGCAAAAUGGUGCCGUAACUUCGGGAGAAGGCACGCUGAUAUGUAGGUGAAGCGACUUGCUCGUGGAGCUGAAAUCAGUCGAAGAUACCAGCUGGCUGCAACUGUUUAUUAAAAACACAGCACUGUGCAAACACGAAAGUGGACGUAUACGGUGUGACGCCUGCCCGGUGCCGGAAGGUUAAUUGAUGGGGUCAGCGCAAGCGAAGCUCUUGAUCGAAGCCCCGGUAAACGGCGGCCGUAACUAUAACGGUCCUAAGGUAGCGAAAUUCCUUGUCGGGUAAGUUCCGACCUGCACGAAUGGCGUAAUGAUGGCCAGGCUGUCUCCACCCGAGACUCAGUGAAAUUGAACUCGCUGUGAAGAUGCAGUGUACCCGCGGCAAGACGGAAAGACCCCGUGAACCUUUACUAUAGCUUGACACUGAACAUUGAGCCUUGAUGUGUAGGAUAGGUGGGAGGCUUUGAAGUGUGGACGCCAGUCUGCAUGGAGCCGACCUUGAAAUACCACCCUUUAAUGUUUGAUGUUCUAACGUGGACCCGUAAUCCGGGUUGCGGACAGUGUCUGGUGGGUAGUUUGACUGGGGCGGUCUCCUCCUAAAGAGUAACGGAGGAGCACGAAGGUUGGCUAAUCCUGGUCGGACAUCAGGAGGUUAGUGCAAUGGCAUAAGCCAGCUUGACUGCGAGCGUGACGGCGCGAGCAGGUGCGAAAGCAGGUCAUAGUGAUCCGGUGGUUCUG